rnacentral:rRNA from 1 species
UACGUAGGGUGCGAGCGUUAAUCGGAAUUACUGGGCGUAAAGGGCGCGUAGGCGGCCUGCUAAGUCGGAUGUGAAAUCCCUCGGCUCAACCGAGGAACUGCAUCCGAUACUGGCGGGCUUGAGUCCGGGAGAGGGAUGUGGAAUUCCAGGUGUAGCGGUGAAAUGCGUAGAUAUCUGGAGGAACACCGGUGGCGAAGGCGGCAUCCUGGACCGGUAUUGACGCUGAGGCGCGAAAGCUAGGGGAGCAAACGGG